UAUUUCGUUUGAUCAAACGUUUUAUGAAAUAUGUCUAAAACAUGGCUUUUUAAAAUAAUUUUAGAAACGUUAGAAUGUAACGUAUUCUAAUGGUUUAGAAAUUCAGUUUAAAACAGAUAACGUUAAUAUGAGGAAGAAACGUGUACGUUUUAAAUAAAUAAUCGUUUGUUGUAAAAGUUGAAAUCAAACUGAUGCUUUUAAUAUCAUGUUUAGAUCAUGAAACUUUAGCCUUGAGUUCACAGACAGGGUAUCACAACACACAUUUAAAUCACAGUUUUGGCUUUUUUCCACAGACCCUGAUGGAUAAAAGAUGGAUAUCUUUUCCUGGAGAAGCAAAAACAAUGUAACUUUGAGGUUCUGAUACCAGCUUUUACAACGUUAUUUACAGAGUUCACAAGACUUCUCUGUGUUAUUUCCUGACCAUGCCGAAAAGCUAUUUGAAACUUGGGCACUGCAUUUUACAGACAGAAUCCUGCAACUUCCCAGCCAAGAACCAGGAGCAUCAACAAAUCACCUCCAGAACCCCAUGAUGAUAUUCCAACUCCUGUCUACAAAAGUGGGAAGAAAAUCUUAAAUCUAUGUAAGUAAUGGAAGUAUUGCACACUUUGCUUUGCAAGCAACCUAAAACAUUUAAUAUUUUGUUUGUGAACUAGCAAGAAGACAUGUUUACAAGUAGGAAUAGAGUUAAAACUCGGACAAGAAAAAUUGUCUUUUACUCGCAACUCUAAAACAUUAACUUUAGGGACAAACGUUAAAGGAAUAGUCUACUCAUUUUCAAUAUUAAACUAUGUUAUUACCUUAACUAAGAAGAGUUGAUACAUCCCUCUAUCAUCUUAGUGCGUGCACGUAAGCGCUGGAGCGCACUGCGACACUUCAAUAGCA